GUGGAUUAGAUACCCUGGUAGUCUUGGCUGUAAACGGUGCGCACUUGCUGUGAGCGGAUUCGACCCCGCUCGUGGCGUAGUUAACACGAUAAGUGCGCCGCCUGGGAAGUACGGUCGCAAGAUUAAAACUCAAAGAAAUUGACGGAGGCCUGCACAAGCGGUGGAGUAUGUGGCUUAAUUCGAUGCAACGCGAAGAACCUUACCUAGCCUUGACAUGCAAAUAGUAGGAGCCUGAAAGGGUGACGAGGUAGCAAUACCAGUUUGCACAGGUGCUGCAUGGUUGUCGCCAGCU
rnacentral:rRNA from 1 species